rnacentral:miRNA from 1 species
UCACCCUGUCUGCGCCCCUCAG